UACGAAGGGGGCUAGCGUUGCUCGGAAUCACUGGGCGUAAAGGGUGCGUAGGUGGGUUGGUAAGUCAGUGGUGAAAUCCCCGAGCUUAACUUGGGAACUGCCAUUGAUACUAUCAGUCUUGAAUACUGUGGAGGUUAGCGGAAUAUGUCAUGUAGCGGUGAAAUGCUUAGAUAUGACAUAGAACACCAAUUGCGAAGGCAGCUGGCUACACAAUUAUUGACACUGAGGCUCGAAAGCGUGGGGAUCAAACAGG
rnacentral:rRNA from 1 species